CUCAAUAUCUUAUAACACAGUUUUCUGGUGGAUGGUACUUUUAUUAUCACUUCUGUACUAAUUUCACCAGUAUGUGGUACACUUUCACAACUCUUAGUACAAAACUCCAAACAGAUCAUCCAAAAGGCAGUUUUUUCAAAACUUUAAGCACAUUUUCUAUUGACUAAGUACAACACAUAAUCACCAAACCUAAUCGGUGUGUCAUCUAGAAAUAACUUUCAUAUAAAGUAAUUGCCUUUCACAAUGCAACGCUCACAAUACUUUUGAUAUUAUUUUCUCAUUUGUUUAAAUGCAUUUCACCAUCACUUAAUCCAAUUUAGCUUAAUGGUUAAUCACUUAACCAUUUGGUAGACCUGUAGAUUUGAAUACUAUACAUGAAUUUUGAGACCUACAGAAAUAACAGAAAUAAAGUGUUUUUAAAGUAGAAACAUCUAAAUUUGUCACGUUCGUCAUAUACAUAAUGAGUGGACCAAGGCGCAGCGUGAGUAGAGUUCCACAUAUUUAUUAAAGUUAACCUUCAAAAAAACAACAAAGAAUACAUGAACGUGACGUUUGUAGCGCACACAGCACUAAAACAAAACAAUAUCCCACAAACGCAAGUGGGAAAAGGACCACACUAAGUAUGAUCCCCAAUUAGAGGCAACGAUCAUCAGCUGCCUCCAAUUGGGAACCAUACUCACACCAACAUAGAAAUUCAAGACUAGAACACCCCCUAGUCACACUCUGACCUAUUGCACCAUAGAGAACCCCAAGGGCUCACUAUGGUCAAUGCGUGACAAAAUUACAUGUAUGAUACAUGAUAACCAUACAUAAUGAAUAUUCAUUAUUGCUAAUUGAUUUCACUUAGUGGUAACCACAAUUGGUCACCAUAUAAAAGGGGGUAUGCUCGGUUCUACCCCCAGAAUUGACAGAAGACCUUAUGGUGUUCUGUCUGGCUGUCACGCCCUGACCUUAGUAUUCUUUGUUCUCUUUAUUAUUUUGGUUAGGUCAGGGUGUGACAUGGGUGAUAUGUGUGUUUUUGUCUCAUUCUAGGGUGUUUGUACUGUCUAGGGGAUUUUGUAGAUUUAUGGGGUUGCUUUCAUCUAGGUGUUUAUGUUGGUCUAUGUUUGCCUAGAUUGGUUCUCAAUUAGAGGCAGGUGUUUAUCGUUGUCUCUGAUUGGGAACCAUAUUUAGGCAGCCAUCUUCUUUGGGUAUUUCGUGGGUUGUUUUCUAUGUCUAGUUGCACGUUAGCACAUUGUUUAUAUAGCGGUCACGGUAGUCUUAUUCGUUUUUUGUUUAAGUGGUCUUCAUUAAAUAAUGUAUUCUAACCACGCUGCAUAUGACAAUCGUGACACUGGCUGUGUUCUGUCUGACCAGCAGGAGUGGGCAGUGGUGGAAAAGGUGAGGGCCAGGAAUGACAUACGGCUGUCUGAAAUAAAGCAGGCCAUUAAGGAGAACGAUGACACCUUUGCCAAUGUGGCAUCCAUCAGUCUACCAACAAUCUCCCGCCUUUUGAAGAGGCACCAGCAGGCUUCAACGUGGCCAAUACUUUUCUCCGUGGGUGAAACCUCAUUGGCCAACGGGUGACCGUCCAAGUGCCUGGACAACGUGGGGGAAACAUCUCCAUGUGCGCAGCGAUCUCUAAAGAUGGUGUGGUAGGACGUAGGCCAUUACUUGGAUCCUACAACACUGAACACCUCAUUGUGUUUCUCAAUUAAAGCAGACAUGCUAAGGUGAAGGGGUCACCUAUGUCAUUGUGUGGGACAAUGUCAGGUUGCACAGGUUCAAUGCAGACCAAUGUCAAGCUUGGAUUCGCCAUGUCAAAAGGUGUUUCCCGCGGCACAUAAACAAUGAGGUCAUUCCCUGCGAUGUAGAUUAGAAUGUAUGGCCAGAUGCUCAAGACAGGCUUGAUUCAAAUGAAUGCGUGCUAAACGUUAUGUUUUAUUUUCAUUCAUUUAAUUUGUUUCUUAACUUCUUACAUUUGAUUAGACACUACACCUUUUGCAAUUAUACCUGAAAAAUGUAUGUUUUUUGCAUUAAUAAUUGUAGAGGAUGUCUUUAUUGAGCACACCUUUGAUUACACAUUGGAUAGAUAUUAUGGAAAUUGUAGAUUCUGUCAAUUUUGUUGGGCAAUAUAAGUGUAUUGUCUAAUGUGAAAUGUAAUUUGCAGCACUGUAGCAUAUCACUUUCAGCACUUCUAAAGGUGAUUUGAUUGGAUUAACUGGAUUAACUGGUAGUUAAAAUGACUAAAUUGAAAAUAUAUAAUUACAUAUCGUGUUGGUUAUUAAACCAAUGUUCUCAUUACAUUUCACAAUAAACGUAUGUUGAUUCAAAAUAUAUUUGGUUGUGUGGUGGGAGAUGUUUACAAUCCAAAUGAAUGCACCAUGACAGGUUUUGAAUGAAAGACGUGUGACCAGUUUGGAGUUUUGUACUAAGAGUUGUGAAAAUGUAUCACAUACUUGUGAAAAUAGUACCAAAGCGAUUUAAACAAACUGUUGUGCUGUGUAAGGGAUAGGGACACUAGGUUAACUGAUUUUUGCCUUGUCAGCUCGGGGAUUCGAUCCUUUCAGUUAUUGGCCCAACCCGCUAAUCACCAGGCAACUAACUAACAUCACUACCUUCCAAGUUCUACUCAAUGUUUUACACUACUUAUUUACUACAUACAUGAAUGGCAAGUCAGUACUGAUGAUGUUGACUGAUUUCCUUAUGAUCUGUAACUCAGUAAAAUCUUAAACUGUUG